rnacentral:rRNA from 1 species
GCCAUGCCGCGUGCAGGAUGACGGUCCUAUGGAUUGUAAACUGCUUUUGUACGAGAAGAAACACUGCUUCCUGAAGCAGCUUGACGGUAUCGUAAGAAUAAGGAUCGGCUAACUCCGUGCCAGCAGCCGCGGUAAUACGGAGGAUCCGAGCGUUAUCCGGAAUCAUUGGGUUUAAAGGGUCCGUAGGCGGUUUAGUAAGUCAGUGGUGAAAGCCCAUCGCUCAACGGUGGAACGGCCAUUGAUACUGCUGAACUUGAAUUAUUAGGAAGUAACUAGAAUAUGUAGUGUAGCGGUGAAAUGCUUAGAGAUUACAUGGAAUACCAAUUGCUAAGGCAGGUUACUACUAAUUGAUUGACGCUGAUGGACGAAAGCGUGGGGAGCGAACAGGAUUACAUACCCUGGUAGUCCACGCCGUAAACGAUGGAUACUAUCUGUUGGGAGCAAUCUCAGUGGCUAAGCGAAAGUGAUAAGUAUCCCACCUGGGGAGUACGUUCGCAAGAAUGAAACUCACAGGAAUUGACGGGGGCCCGCACAAGCGGUGGAGCAUGUGGUUUAAUUCGAUGAUACGCGAGGAACCUUACCAAGGCUUAAAUGUAGAUUGACCGGUUUGGAAAC